GGGUCAGUAGGUUGGUCGUGCCACCGGUACGUACUGGUCUCACUGAUUCCUCCUUCCUGAAGAACCGUAAUGCCAUUAAUUUGGUGUUGCGGGGAGGCAGGACUGUUACUUUGAAAAAAUUAGAGUGUUUAAAGCAAGCUAACGCUUGAAUACAUUAGCAUGGAAUAAUGAAAUAGGACGAUCGAUCCUAUUUUGUUGGUUUCUAGGAUUGACGUA
rnacentral:rRNA from 1 species